AUGAAUAUUGCCCUUCUAUCCCGGUGGCUGUGGCGUAUCACCCAGGGUCAUGGUGGCCUCUGGCUGGACAUUAUCCGGAAUAAGUACCUGCGUGGUCAACCCCUUGCCUUCUGCCAGAAAUCGGGAGGUUCUCAGUUCUGGCAGUCCCUCAUCCAGCUUCUUCCGGUGCUCCGCAUUGGUACCUCUAUCUCGGUGGGGUCCGGCCUCUCGACGCUCUUCUGGUUUGAUCGCUGGGCCGGCGACUCUCCCUUUGCAGCCCGCUUCCCCACCCUCUUCUCUAUCGCUGUCGUCCCCAUGAUCUCUGUUGAUAGGGCCCUUCUUGACUUAGGGCGCCUCGCUUUCCGUCGGUCAUUUGGGCCGGCGGAAUCCACCGCCUGGCGUGAGUUGCUUGACUGCGUUGCUCUGCAUGAGCCGGUGGUGGAUGGGGAUCAGGAUCUUGUGCGCUGGCACCUGGAGCCGUCGGGCCAGUUCUCUACCAAAUCGCUAUACUUGGCCAUUGCCCCCUCCUCCGCUCCCCUCCCCCUAUCGAUGGUGUGGUCCGUCCCCGUCCCCCUGAAGAUUCGCAUCUUCAUGUGGCAGUGGAUCCGUGGACGGAUCCCGUCCGGUGUGGAGGUCCGCAAGCGUAAUCGCCCGGGCACUGGUAUCUGCCCCCUCUGUGCUGUUCCCGAGGACUCCAACCACAUCUUCUUCGCCUGCUUCUCCGCCCGGUUCCUCUGGAGCUGCUUUCGCGAGAUUGUCGGUGGGAGUUGGUGCCACACCAUUUUCCCGGACUUAUUUGCUGAACUCCAAUUGUCCCCUUCAUCCUCUCGCCACAUUAGGUGGCUCGAGGUUGGGGUCCUUGCCUGGACGCUUUGGACCGUUCGCAAUAAGCUAGUGAUCCAGCGUACUCCUCUUCGUCGCGCUACUGAUGCUCUCUACAAAUUCUCGGGUUUCUUGCAGCUUUGGCGGCCGCUUAGCCGCCCCCUGGAUCGGGACGCCAUCUCUGCCUUCAUCGCCGAUCUCCGCUCGAUGGCCGUCCGCCUGUCGCCCCCGCCGCCGCCGCCUCCGCCGGAGCCUGACUAG
rnacentral:rRNA from 1 species